AGCAGCAGCCACGUAAUACAGAGGGUGCAAGCGUUAAUCGGAAUUACUGGGCGUAAAGCGCGCGUAGGUGGUUUGUUAAGUUGGAUGUGAAAUCCCCGGGCUCAACCUGGGAACUGCAUUCAAAACUGACUGACUAGAGUAUGGUAGAGGGUGGUGGAAUUUCCUGUGUAGCGGUGAAAUGCGUAGAUAUAGGAAGGAACACCAGUGGCGAAGGCGACCACCUGGACUAAUACUGACACUGAGGUGCGAAAGCGUGGGGAGCAAACAGGAUUAGAUACCCGUGUAGUCCCUGUCUCUUAUACA
rnacentral:rRNA from 1 species